UAGCUCUGCCCCAUAGAUGCACCAUAGCUGCCCUAUAGCGCCCCAUAGCGCCCCAUAACCCCAAAGACCCCAUUCAUCCUCCAUCCAUUCCCACUGUCCUCCAUCUCUGCACCCCAUAACACCAUCUCUGCCCCAUAGAGCCCCAUAGAGCCCCAUUGCUCUGCCCCAUAGAUGCCCUAUAGUCACCCUAUAGCGCCCCAUAGCGCCCCAUAGCCCCCAUUCAUCCUCCAUCCAUUCCCAUUGCCGCACAUUUCUGCCCCAUAGCUGCCCCAUAGCGCCCCAUAGCGCCAUAUCUGCCCCAUAGCACCUCACAGCUCUGCCCCAUAGCUUUGCCCCAUAGCCCGAUCUAUGGGGCUGGAGCCAAUCUAUGGGGCUGGAACCCGAUAUGGGGCCGAUCUAUGGGGCUGGAGCCAAUCUAUGGGGCUGGGACAGUCUAUGAGACCAAUCUAUGGGGCCAGGACCCACUAUGGGGCCAAUCUAUGGGGCUGGGACCCACUAUGGGGCCAAUCUAUGGGGCUGGGACCCACUGUGGGGCCAAUCUAUGGGGCUGGGACCUGCUAUGGGGCCGAUCUAUGGGGCUGGGGCCGAUGUGUGGGGCCGGAAUGCCCCAUAGGUGUCCCCUUCCAUCCCCCCCCCAUUUCCGCCCCACGGAUUCUUUGCUGCUAUUUGGGGCUCCUCCACCUGCGCUGCCCCACAGCUGUUGUGGGGCGGGGGGGCGGGGGGGGGGGGGGGAACUUCCGCCCACCCCAUGGGGCCCCACAGCGCCGCCCCAUAGAUGGGAACCGGGGGGGGGGGGGG
ensembl:lncRNA